rnacentral:rRNA from 1 species
GACGAACGCUGGCGGCGUGCUUAACACAUGCAAGUCGAACGGAAAGGCCCUGCUUUUGUGGGGUGCUCGAGUGGCGAACGGGUGAGUAACACGUGGGUAACCUGCCCUUGACUUUGGGAUAACUUCAGGAAACUGGGGCUAAUACCGGAUAGGAGCUCCUGCUGCAUGGUGGGGGUUGGAAAGUUUCGGCGGUUGGGGAUGGACUCGCGGCUUAUCAGCUUGUUGGUGGGGUAGUGGCUUACCAAGGCUUUGACGGGUAGCCGGCCUGAGAGGGUGACCGGCGACAUUGGGACUGAGAUACGGCCCAGACUCCUACGGGAGGCAGCAGUGGGGAAUAUUGCACAAUGGGCGGAAGCCUGAUGCAGCAACGCCGCGUGCGGGAUGACGGCCUUCGGGUUGUAAACCGCUUUCGCCUGUGACGAAGCGUGAGUGACGGUAAUGGGUAAAGAAGCACCGGCUAACUACGUG